rnacentral:rRNA from 1 species
AUACGGAGGGGGCUAGCGUUGUUCGGAAUUACGGGGCGUAAAGCGUACGCAGGCGGAUAUUUAAGUUAGAGGUGAAAUCCCAGGGCUCAACCCUGGAACUGCCUUUAAAACUGGGUAUCUAGAGUUAUGGAGAGGUAAGUGGAAUUCCUAGUGUAGAGGUGAAAUUCGUAGAUAUUAGGAGGAACACCAGAGGCGAAGGCGGCUUACUGGACAUAUACUGACGCUGAGGUACGAAAGUGUGGGGAGCGAACGGGAUUAGAAACCCUAGUAGUCC